GAUGAAGAACGCAGCGAAAUGCGAUAAGUAAUGCGAAUUGCAGAAUUCCAGUGAGUCAUCGAAUCUUUGAACGCACAUUGCGCCCGCCAGCAUUCUGGCGGGCAUGCCUGUUCGAGCGUCAUUUCAACCCUCGACCUCCCUUUGGGGAAGUCGGCGUUGGGGACCGGCAGCACACCGCCGGCCCUGAAAUGGAGUGGCGGCCCGUCCGCGGCGACCUCUGCGUAGUAAACCAACUCGCACCGGAACCCCGACGUGGCCACGCCGUAAAACACCCAACUUCUGAACGUUGACCUCGAAUCAGGUAGGACUACCCGCUGAACUUAAGCAUAUCAAUAAGCGGAGGA
rnacentral:misc_RNA from 1 species